rnacentral:lncRNA from 1 species
CGCAAAGUCAACAUCCCAAACUUGUUUUUGAUCUUGUAUUUUCCUGCUGGGGCUAAACGGAGGUCAAUGGGGACUCCAUUUUUAUACCAGGUCACCUGUGGCAGUGGGGAAGCCAGGACUGUGCAUGUCAGUGUCACUUCCAUCCUCUCCCAGACUGCGUGUACUCUGAGGGGGAUCCAGAACAUAGGUGCUCGACCCGAACACAGCUCAAUGUAUUCCUUCUCUCUGUGUGCCUUUUCUACAGCCUGUGACAAGGACAGACUAAAUAAAGGCAGUGGAAAGAGAUUGUUUUCCAAUUACACAAAUUCUCUUACAUAAGGGACAUGUGUGAUAAUCCUUCAGUGGCAGAGAUGCAAGGGCUUGUCCUUAUUGCUGACAG